GAUGAACGCUGGCGGCGUGCUUAACACAUGCAAGUCGAACGAAGCAAUUUUGAAACUUCGGUUUCAAAAUUGACUUAGUGGCGGACGGGUGAGUAACGCGUAGGUAACCUGCCUUAUACAGGGGGAUAACAGCUGGAAACGGCUGCUAAUACCGCAUAACACAGAGGUAUCGCAUGAUACUUUUGCCAAAGAUUUAUCGGUAUAAGAUGGACCUGCGUCUGAUUAGCUAGUUGGUGAGGUAAUGGCUCACCAAGGCGACGAUCAGUAGCCGACUUGAGAGAGUGAUCGGCCACAUUGGGACUGAGACACGGCCCAAACUCCUACGGGAGGCAGCAGUGGGGAAUAUUGCACAAUGGGGGAAACCCUGAUGCAGCGACGCCGCGUGAGUGAAGAAGUAUUUCGGUAUGUAAAGCUCUAUCAGCAGGGACGAAUAAAAUGACGGUACCUGACUAAGAAGCCCCGGCUAACUACGUGCCAGCAGCCGCAGUAAGAC
rnacentral:rRNA from 1 species